CACGAAGCUGGAAUCGCUAGUAAUCGCGAAUCAGAAUGUCGCGGUGAAUACGUUCCCGGGUCUUGUACACACCGCCCGUCACACCAUGGGAGUCGGGAAUGCCCGAAGUCAGUGACCCAACCUUUGGAGGGAGCUGCCGAAGGCAGGUCUGAUAACUGGGGUGAAGUCGUAACAAGGUAUC
rnacentral:rRNA from 1 species